rnacentral:rRNA from 1 species
GAUGAACGCUGGCGGUAUGCCUAACACAUGCAAGUCGUACGAGAGUUUUUAACUCUAGUGGCGGACGGGUGAGUAACACGUGAGAAUUUGCCUUUAGGAGGGGGACAACAAUUGGAAACGAAUGCUAAUACCCCAUAUGCUUUCGAGUGAAAUGGAUUUUAUCCGCCUAGAGAGAAGCUCGCGGCUGAUUAGCUUGUUGGUAAGGUAAGAGCUUACCAAGGCGACGAUCAGUAUCUGGUUUGAGAGGACGAUCAGACACACUGGAACUGAGACACGGUCCAGACUCCUACGGGAGGCAGCAGUGGGGAAUUUUCCGCAAUGGGCGAAAGCCUGACGGAGCAAUACCGCGUGAGGGAAGAAUGCCUAUGGGUUGUAAACCUCUUUUUUCAGGGAGGAAUAAAUGACGUGUACCUGAAGAAUAAGCAUCGGCUAACUCCGUG